UUUAGGCCUUAGGGGCGCGGCCCCUCGCGCCCUACCGUGCCCCACCGUGCCAUGUUCCGGGCUGCCUGCCUUCUAAAAGUUCCUGCAGGAAGCAGGUGAUGUGGCCUCCCCGACCCGGGCCCGCCCCCACCACUUUGCCGGAGGCGAGCUAAAUUCCAGCCGGGGUUCCUAGCAGCAGCUUAGUGGCAGGCGACAGGAAAAAGGGCAAAGGCCCCAACUGGCUGGAAGGCAAGCCCGGGGGCAGGACCUCCUUGCGGGACGGCACGAGGCAGGAGCCGGCUCCAGGCUGGUCUCGGCCUGGUAAUAAUUUCACACCACCAGCCGGUCAUUGUUCAAAGCACUGUAGACCAUUUUACUAAUUUAACCCUAACGAUCGCCGCAUUUCGCAGCUGGGCCAACUGGUACAGGGUUGACCCGAAGGGCCCUGCGUGGCGCUUGGCAAGUAUACAGCAGGCACUAAAUGGCUGCCGACAGGCUCGGUGGUAAUUUUGAAAGUUGGCUCUGUGCAGCGUUGGGGCUGCGGCAUCUGCUGGUGGCGAGUGGUAUUACAGCCCAGCGCUGGCGGACCCCGUUGGGCUGGGGAGGGUUGUGAGAUUAUGGCCUGAGAGCCAAGGGGGUCGGUUAGGGGUCCCUAGAGACUGUGGAAGGCGGGGUAGCAUAAAACACAAUGGGGGACUGCGGAGGAACUAAAAUUUCGAGACUACAUGGUUUUGUUGUGCACCAGAAGUUCAUUAGAGAAGUUCCUUAAUUGCUUCUCCGCCCGCCGCGAUGGCACUCGACCCCGCGGAUUAAUUUAACAACUCUGAUGGUUGCUCUGUGAAAUUUAAAGAACAGUGGUUUAAGCAAAGACCACAAGAAAGAAGAAUUGAGAUCAAAGAGGAGUGUGUGCCAUCGCUGUGGAGGAGUUUCAGUUGUGAAUCAUGAAAUGUCCUGUAAACCAUUUCAAGGAGUUUGAUUUUUAUACCAAAAACAAUGGGAAGACACUACAGGUUUUUGGAGCAGCAGCUCAGACGUGUCGAAAAAGAUGUUUUGAUCCCUAAAAUAAUGAGAGAAAAGGCCAGAGAGAGGUCUUCUGACAAGUUCAAGAUUUUACCAAAUGUUGCAAGAACUCUGGAAUCCUUAUGGUAGUAAAAUGCUGGAAAGAAAAUUCUGCAUUGAAAGAAUGUCUUAACAGCUCACUAUAAUGACCCAGCCUUUUAUGAAUAAUGCAAAGUGGAAAACCUGAAGGAAAAGGAAGAAUUCAGAAAAACUGGAAUUUCUACAAAGAAAAGUCUACAGAAGCUGCCCACAAGUGUGUAGACAAAUAUUCAGAUGACAUUCAGGAUCUCUAAUACUCAUGGAAGUCGUUUAUAGAAUAAACCUUAAAUAAUGGACUCAA